GCUUAUUUAAUUUCAUGCCCAUUUUCCUGAAAACAUUCCUCUGUUGUGAAAAAAUACUUUGGAAAAAUUUGCACCCUUGCUGGCCAGUGUCGGCCAAAGAUCGUAUUUUCACAUAAAGUUUGCACUAAUAUUGAGCUGUACAGUUUUCUGGGAGAGGUCUCACUGGUCUGUUUGCAACAUUGAAGAAUGUCCGAAGUUUUUUCAUGAGCAGUUGCAAGGUCAACAAAAUGGUGACAGAUACGAUGAAGUAAGGAUUUUUUCUUGCUGCCCAAGCCAUCAUCCAGUAUGAUAUAAAGAAAAUUCCAGUUGAAUAAUUUAGGAAACAGUCCAUUCAUAAACAAUUUGUGUUUUGCUAUUGGUAGAUUUACGCAAGAUUUAUUGAAUUAAUGUUUAUUUAUAAUAACUGUUUAUUUGUAGAGGAUACUUUUUUCAAACACAUUUCAACUUUACGAUUGUGAGCAUACUGAAAUGCAGUCAUUUACGAAAUCUGCUCAGGGAAAUCUCCAUAAAGCAUGCUUAAAAUUUGAACAUUUACCAGGAAGAAUUCGAUUAGAAUGAUAAUAGGAAAGUAAAAAUAGACAAAUUCUCGGUAUCCCUAGUAUCGAAUGAACAAAGAUCUUUUUCUUGUUAUUUAAAUAGUUGCAUCUUAAAUAGUUAUGCAAUGAAGUGUGUCAUUGACACGCGUAAUAUCACAUUUUUAAAUGAAUUCUUGCAUUUUA